UGCAUGUGCUGAAUCUUUAACUGAUUCCAAUAACUCCAAAGGAACACAAUGAUUCACUACUUGAAAGAAUCCAAGAGUUUCAGCUGCUCUAACAAUCUCAUUCACCACUUUUUCAUGUUCUUUUCCAUUGAGCUUUGAUAGGUCAAUUGGUGGCAUAUCACAUGGUUUUGUUUCUAGUUUGUUGAUUCUUUCAUUUAUGGGUUGUAUGUAUAUCUUUGGAACCUCUAAUAAACCUGAAUCUACUAAGCCUUUGAUUCCAUUGCCAUCUCUUACAAUAAAGUUGUACAAUGAAUUUGAAGUGUUGGAAAUUUGAGCCAUUAAAAAUGUGCAAUCUUUUUUUUGGGAAGAAAAAAGAAAACACUAACUUGGUAUUCUAUUUGGGUUUGUAUGAUUGAGAUGUAUAUAUUGCUUUUUAAUGUGUUUGCUUUUCCUCCUGUGACGGCUCUCUAACAAACUGGUCUCUAGACUUGAAUAUUCUUUCUGGGGUGUUUGACUGGUUAAAUGGGGUUGGCACUAAUGUGUCCAAGCAUCGUACGCAAAUUUUGUAAAAUAGAUUUGAAUCUCAUUCCAAAAAGCUAAUUGUAAGAAGACAAAUGUUUUUUUUUCUUAAGGAAAAAGAAGAAAAAUGUUAGCAAGUAUCUUCAGAUACUAUUUAAAAACCAUAAAUAAAGUGUCGGCAAACAUUUAUAUAUCCAGGGCUCAGACAAAAAAAAAACAUUUAUAUAUCCAAAGGAAAAGGAAAUAUAAAUAAUUAUAAAAAGUAUAUAUAGGAAAAGGAACUUUUAUUAAAAUUAAAGUGCUAUUAAUAAUUAUUUUAGAAAGGAAAUUUGAACUCCUCCUCUUAAGAUCAGACAAUCAAAUUUUAUCACGGAUUAUGUGCAUUCAAAACAUGGAGUUUUAAAAGUAUCACAUUUUUUCUUAGUCAACAAAUAAAAAUGUCGCAUUUUAGAUAAAGUUUCCGGAACAAAAUGUACGUCUAAAUAUUGUCUUCACACAUUCACGUCCAAAUAUUAUCUUCACACAUUCACAUCUAAAUAAUGUCUAUCACACAUUUCAAAAACAAAAUAAAAAAACUGUCUAUCAGAAGCUACAGUCGGACAAAAGAUAAGUAAUUUAUCUUCACACAAUUAUCUGGUGUGACAGAAUCAUGACACAAUUAUAAUUGUGUGAAGAAUGUCAUUUGUUUAAAAUAAAUGAAGAAUGUCAUUUGGUGAAAGAUAGAUACCAAAAAGUAGAUAGUGGGUCCCACUAUUACUAAAUUUUUACAAAUUUCACAGCGUCUUUAUCUCUUCCAAAAAAAGAAAUGGAGAUGAUAUUAAAUGGAGAUGAUCAUAGCCCGAUCAAAUGACGUUAUAAGGUUCUAUCGUAUAUAGCUCGAGAUAUUCUUUAAUAGUUUUUGUAGAUCUUCUUCGUCUUAGUGAUUUGAUUAUCCUACAUCUAAUAUACUCUUUUAACUAUAGAAUCUAAAUAUAUUAUCUCUACACGCCAAAACCAUAUAAUCCUACUUUCCACCAUAUUUUUUACAAUAAGUGCUACUCCUCCUCUCUUUUACAUUGACCGUGUAUGAGUUUAAUCUAUGGUUAAUCUUUACUUACAAGAGAAGUUGAACGUAAUCGAGUUUAACUAUAUAUUAAACAUUCCUUAAAAAAAUUCUAUAUAUUAAACAAGGAAUAAUAACUGCAUUAAUCAAUUAUUUUUUGAAGAAAAUUAUUUUGAAAUAAACGUAUCAGUAUAUCCUAUUAUAUCUUUAAUUCAGUUCUUUCUUUUUUUGUUGGUACAACAUAUAUGUUUGUAUCAUAUACUGUAGUAGUUUGUAUUCCAGCUUUUCUUUCGAAAAUUCCAGUUCAUGUUGUUAGAGUCGUUUGUCACACGGUAUUGAAUCAGUUAUCAAUGCUUCAAAGUUAAAUACUCCAUCCGUCCCUUAAUAAGUGACCUAUUUGACCAUUUCACACAGAUUAAGAAAAGUGUAAAGAUAAAAGAAAGAGAGUGAUACUUUUACUGAGUUGCCCUUGUCAUUAUUUUGAAACUUUUUCACUUUUAAGUAAUGAUUACUUUCUUUGUUCCACUACAAACUUUAACAUGGGGACCACAAAAAGUAUUUAUAAAGGGUAAAUCUGUCAAAUUUUGCUUAGAAAUCUGAGAAGGUUAAGUAUUGUGGGAUAAAUAUUUUUUACAAAUAGGUCACUUAUUCAGGGACGGAGGGAGGGAGUAAAAGUAAAAAACAAAAGGAAAAGUUACAAAAUAUGUAUUCAGAGAAACCUGACCCAUUAUAAUAAACAUACCACAUGUCUACAUUUUUGGUACAUCUCAUAUAUUUUUCUUGAAUGGAUUAUUAGGUACAUCUUAUGUAUUUUGUUCACGUGACAUUCUUUGUAAGAUUAAUUAAUCUUGGAUGCUUAUCUAUUUCAGUUAAAGCAUUGUCAAAAAAAUCUAUUUCAGUUAAAGGGACAUAAAAAUGCUGACUAGUUUACACAUACACACUCAUCAAAAUUCAAGCUAGAUUAUGAAAUAAGUAGUAGUUCAAAAUACAAGCAAACAUUACUAACCAGAUAAUACUUUCCAAAAAUUGCUAAAAGAAAAAUUACUUCCUAAAAAGCAUGACAUUGUUUGGGAUAUAGUUUUGAUAAUGAAAGUGUUCUUUUACACAUAUAACUUAUAAGUACUAAGUUGAUCUAAUUGAGUAAUUGACAAAUAAUACAUUUCUUUAUACUCCUGUGAAAUUGGUGGUGCAUUGUCGUUACUUGCACAAGUUGCAUCUGUGCAAUCUGUGGGACAUGGCUAUGAAUGCUACAUAUACUGCUAUUUGUUUUUAUCUUCUGCUUCUACUUUUUCUGUAAGUCCUAUUAUUACAACUUUUUUCUUCUACUUUUUCUGUAAGUGCUAUUAUUACAACUUUUUUCUUCUCUGCCUCAAAAGGACUUCAUGAUCUUUCUUUGUUCUACUUUGGGACCAUGUAUGUGACAUCAUCCAACUAAUACCAUAUAUGUAAUUGUUUUUUUAAAUCAAUUUAACCAAACAUAUGCAUUUUUACGAGUAAAUAGUCAAUUACCUCCCUGAAAUUGUAGGUUUUGUCAAUUACCUUCUGAAAUUAAUAAAACUUCAAUUACCCCCUAAAAUUGCAUAACGUUAAUCAAUUUACCCCAUCCGUCAAAUUUUUCUGUUAACUGUUUAUGGUUAUGAUCAAAUACCCCCCCUGAAAUUUUGCACUUAUGUGCCAAAUGCCCUCUAAACUUGAAAAUUUAUAUUAUUUUUUUUAUUCUUGACUCAAAAGAUAUUAAAGGCAAACAGAUUAACAAUUAUUGAUCAUAUAAAUCUGUAUGAAAUGUAUGUUUAUGCAGCUAUUGGUUAUAUAAAUCUUUAUGGAAGGUAUGUUACUCUCAUGUGUUUUAAAUAUAUACAUAUGUAGAAGACUUUUUUUUUACACAAGUUGGUAAUUAUGUUAGAGUAUGCAGUCAUAAAGUACAAAAGUCUUUGAUAAUUGUGUGUCCAUAAAGAAAAUUCAUAGGUUAAUAUCUGCAGAAGGAAGAAGAUACAAGGUUUGUUGAUAAAUAUAUGAAUGAAAAGGCUGCACAUGACAAAACCAUGAUUUCUUUGGCAUAUAUUCAUUCAUUUUCUUGUGAAUAGAAUUUUUAUGACAAUAGGUACAAUAUACUACUUGAAGAACUUAAUGUAUGAUUUUUGGUAAGAAAAAAAAAUCUAAAUUUGAAAGUUUAGGGGGCAUUUUGCACAUUAGUGCAAAAUUUCAGGGGGGUAUUUGAUCAUAACCGUAAACAGUUAACAGAAAAAUUUGACGGAGGGGUAAGUUGAUUAACGUUAUGCAAUUUCAGAGGGUAUUGAAGUUUUGUUAAUUUCGGAGGGGUAAUUGACGAAAUUUACAAUUUCAGGAGGGAAAUUGACUAUUUACUCGCAUUUUUACUAACAAAUUAAUCAACUAAGACAAUUUUGGCGAUUUCGGAAUGACCAGAAGUGUGACAGAAUCAUGACAUGUCAAUGCGGUUUUCACAAAAGCUAUACUUUAUAUUUGUAGCUUGUGAUAGACAUAGUUUUUUUAUUUUGUUUUUGAAAUGUGUGAUAAGACAUAUAAUUGUGUGAAUAUAAUAAAAAACUAUGUCUAUCACACUUUAUAUAUUUUAUUUUUGAAAUAUAUUAAGAUAAGUUGUGUGCAAUCAAAAUCAAAAUAAAAGUAAUUUAAAUUUGUGUUCGAAUUCAAUAUUAUACUUUGUUAUUUUAAGGUUUAGGAAUAAGUGAAAAAUAUCUAUAAAAAAUAUUUGUUUUUAAAAAUUCCUUGCACCAACGGGGUUGAGUCCAACGGAAGGAGUUAAACUCUCGCAAUCUAAUGAAUCAACGCUCAAAUAUUGCCUAGGAGAGAUACUCAUAUUUAGCGUUCGACAUGCCUCAAAUAUAGGUCUGGAUUUGGGCAUGCUGGGUAGUUUUUGCUCUCUAUAAAUAUAGUCAAUUUCGGUUUUAGUCAUGACAAAAGAAAUUACAUGUUUUGGUCAUCUAAAAAUUUUCAAUAUCUAAUUUUAAUUCCUGAUAAAUUAAAAUUUGUUUAAUUAUGCUUAAAAUUUUAAAUUUUUGAAUGAUUUGUAUAUACUUUUUUAAAAUAUUAUAAAAAGUUCCUCACAUUAGUUUUACAGAACUGUCAUUUUUUUUUUUAGAAUAAAAACGAAAUCCUCUAUAUUUAUAGGGACUAAAAUUAAUAUAACCCUAAAAAGAUUUAACUAAAGUAAUUGUUAGUUUUGUUGAGAAAGUAGAUGGACUUACUUGCACUCAUUAGGCCAAUAUUGAAGAGCAUCUUCAUCACUACUAUAUACCAUAUUGAUAUAAUCUUUCCAUUCCAAAACAUUUUCUAUCUCAGGAGCAAAAAUAGUUUGAUAUCUCAUCUUUAAACUUGUACUCACAUUUUGUCGGUAAACAACUUUUUUCUCUGGUGGCAUAUUGAAAAAUGCAUGUGCUGAAUCUUUAACUGAUUCCAAUAACUCCAAAGGAACACAAUGAUUCACUACUUGAAAGAAUCCAAGAGUUUCAGCUGCUCUAACAAUCUCAUUCACCACUUUUUCAUGUUCUUUUCCAUUGAGCUUUGAUAGGUCAAUUGGUGGCAUAUCACAUGGUUUUGUUUCUAGUUUGUUGAUUCUUUCAUUUAUGGGUUGUAUGUAUAUCUUUGGAACCUCUAAUAAACCUGAAUCUACUAAGCCUUUGAUUCCAUUGCCAUCUCUUACAAUAAAGUUGUACAAUG
rnacentral:lncRNA from 1 species